rnacentral:tRNA from 1 species
GCGGGUGUAGCUCAGUGGUAGAGCAGCAGCUUCCCAAGCUGCGUGUCGUGGGUUCGAUUCCCAUCACCCGCUCCA